rnacentral:rRNA from 1 species
GACGAACGCUGGCGGCGUGCUUAACACAUGCAAGUCGAACGGUGAAGCGCCUUCCUUUUUGGUGGGUGUGGAUGAGCGGCGAACGGGUGAGUAACACGAGAGUAACCUGCCCCCUUCUUCUGGAUAACCGCAUGAAAGAGUGGCUAAUACGGGAUAUUCUGGGUCUGUCGCAUGAUGGGUCUGGGAAAGAUAUGGUGUCGGUGGGGGAUGGGCUCGCGGCCUAUCAGCUUGUUGGUGGGGUGACGGCCUACCAAGGCGGUGACGGGUAGCCGGCCUGAGAGGGUGGGCGGUCACGCUGGUGCUGCGCCGCGGCGCCGACUCCGACGGGAGGCAGCAGUGGGUAUUAUGGCACAGUGGGCGCAAGCCUGAUGCAGCGCCGCCUCGUGGGGGAUGGUGGCCUUCGGGUUGUGAACCUCUUUCGCCAGUGAAGCAGUCCUUCCUCGUUUGUGGGUGUGUUGACGGUAGCUGGAUAAGAAGCGCCGGCUAACUACGUG